CCUGUUCGCAGGUGCAUGUGAUUCAUCGCGAAACAUAAACAGGAGUGAAAAAGUGUUUGUUUACCGAGACGACAGGAGAAACAAGAGAAACACGAGAAUGAGGAGAAGCAUGAGAAGAAGGAGAAGCAGGAGGAGCAGGAGGAGCAGGAGGGUGUGUGGAGGGUGUGUGGAGGAGCACGUCGCUACGGGCGGCGGACACAAAGUGACCGAUGGAAUGCGGCUAAUGCUAGCCAUGCUAACAGCAGCGGGCCACAACAUGGAGGAGGAGAACUUUCUGCACAGUUACUGCUCAGAGGACACAAGAGAAACACCUACAGCUGAAGUGUCACCACAAAUACAGAUGACCCCUGCCAGUUCCGGAUGUGCUGUCCUGAGAUGAUCCAGACCUCUCUGUUGGGGUGACAAUGGCCAGGGCGGCGUCACCCAGGCCGUCAGGUGAUAUUGCCCUGGCCGCCGCCCGGGCCUUUGUACUACACAUGUGACAGGAGAACAAUACUCUUUUGUGAACAAUAAACAGUAACUUUAAAAUAUUUACACUCUUGCUGUAUCCACCCCACACAGUGAAAACCAAACACCUCUAUCCCUCUGUGAUUCACCAUUUUUCUACCAACAUGACAACAAUCACCAACCGUCUAUCAAACACUCAAAACUGCAUUAUUAAAAUAAGCACCACAAUGUAUCUAUUCUAUCCCCUUCAUGCUAAGAUACUUUGUUGUCCAGGACUUUUUUCCAAUGCAAAAUGGUGAUAGCUAGUCAUAAACACCCUGACUUAUGCUUUUUUGACUGCAAUUGUAUGUAAUGUGUGGUGACUAUACUUUCUCAGUGUAUAUGACAUGUCUGCCUCUUUGCUGUUUACU